rfam:Paraoerskovia marina strain DSM 22126 genome assembly, chromosome: I
UCUGGUCCUCGGUAGUGGCCCCCGGAACCCCGCGAGGGGAAGCCGUGAGCCUCGAUCGAAGACCGUC